CGUAAGUCUCAGUUCGGAUUGAAGGCUGAAAUUCGCCUUCAUGAAGCCGGAAUUGCUAGUAAUGGCAGGUCAGCAUACUGCCGUGAAUACGUUCCCGGGCCUUGUACACACCGCCCGUCACACCAUGAGAGUUGGGAAUACCCGAAGUCCGUAGCCUAACCGCAAGGGGGCGCGGCCGAAGGUGGGUUCGAUAAUUGGGGUGAAGUCGUAACAAGGUACC
rnacentral:rRNA from 1 species